GUGAAUCAUCAAAUUUUUGAACGCAUAUUGCACUCUCUGGUAUUCCGGAGAGUAUGCCUGGUUGAGGGUCAAAUAAAAUCAUAUAAAUUCCAAGAUUUCUUGGAAUUUAAAAUGGGUUGUCCAUUUUUUGUGGUCGCCUAAAAUCCAAGACAAGCUCAUUUUCUUGGGUUGCGUGAUACUUUUGGGUACUUCUUGACUUAACCAGUAAUCAUCGGGAUUGUUAUUAAUUGUG
rnacentral:misc_RNA from 1 species